rnacentral:rRNA from 1 species
UGAGGAAUAUUGGUCAAUGGGCGCGAGCCUGAACCAGCCAAGUAGCGUGAAGGAUGAAGGUCCUAUGGAUUGUAAACUUCUUUUAUAGCAGAAUAAAGUGACCCACGUGUGGGUUUUUGUAUGUAUGCUAUGAAUAAGCACCGGCUAACUCCGUGCCAGCAGCCGCGGUAAUACGGAGGGUGCAAGCGUUAUCCGGAUUUAUUGGGUUUAAAGGGUCCGUAGGCGGACUUAUAAGUCAGUGGUGAAAGCCUGUCGCUUAACGAUAGAACUGCCAUUGAUACUGUAAGUCUUGAGUAUAUUUGAGGUAGCUGGAAUAAGUAGUGUAGCGGUGAAAUGCAUAGAUAUUACUUAGAACACCAAUUGCGAAGGCAGGUUACCAAGAUAUAACUGACGCUGAGGGACGAAAGCGUGGGGAGCGAACA